UAGCGCCAACACGAAGAAGAGGUUUCACUAAACCUGCGCCACAUUAUGGCACGAUUAUUAUCCUCUCACGUCGCAUUUCAUUUUCUGUGUAUAAUUAUUAUGCUCUUAAAUGACGGAACUAUCUGUAAUGUUGUGUUUCAGCCUGCGUUUAUUCUGGCAUCUGGUCCGAGAAUAUCAUCCUUUCUGGUUGGAAACUUGUCUGGCAUUUCCUUCAGCCUCAGUGCUGUUUCAUCCUCAAAUACAACAGGUAGCAUCCCGUCAUCAUCCUGUAGGCCGGUUUCUCAAACACAGUGGAAUCUUUCAAAUGAAUUAAUUGGGAAG